rnacentral:lncRNA from 1 species
GCACACAUUUUAUUUGAAAGCAUUGAAUAAGUAGCUCAGGCUCUCGCUCAGACUUAAGGGGCUGAUGAACUACGCCCCCGCCGCAACCAGCUUUCUCUGCACCCCAAUCCAGCCCCGCUCCAGACGACGGGCUUAGAUUCUGCUAUCACGUAGGCAGUGAGCCUGGGGAAGAUGCGAUGCCUCCCUUGAAACCAUCAAGACAGAUAUCCGCUGGUUUUAGGGUGUCCCCCAAGGCAAGCAUCUGGGACGCCUCCGGCAUAUGCUCGCCCUCGGGGCCCGACCAGGAGGCUCCAGCUUUGCAAGGCGCCACCGCCCAGAGCUCAGGUCUGGGUUGGAAGGGUGGGCGGCACCGCCUCAGGGUACGUUCUCCCGACUUCGGAGAGAAAGAAAGGAAGAAAUGCACCCUAGGAAAAGGGGCUUCGACUUUUUGUGCCUGUGCUUUCAUGGAAGUCACCAGCUCUCGGCUGCUUAAGAUGCUACUCAGAAGCGCGCCCAGCCAGGCUGUGGCCAUCCGCGCCAAGUCCUCGUGUCCUGGUCGACGAGCACUUUGGGUAGCACCGCGACACACAAUAGCCACCACGGUUAGGAGAUAUGCUCGCUAUGCUUACCUGUUGGCAAAAAUAAAAUGCAAAAUAAAAAUUUAAAUUUGGAAACUAACACAUGGUGACAUCUUCUAGAACCACAGCUCUUUCUUCAGACAAAAGCCAAUUUUACCAUCCCGCAAACCCAUUGAGCCCUGGAAGUUCCGUUCGCGGCACUUUGGCGCCCUCUGGCUUUAUCAGGGUGGCUUGCUUGUUCUGCUUCGUCCUGAAAGAAUAGCGGAGGGGGGGGGGAAUGGAAAUGUAUGUUGCCUUCUUGGUUGGAUCUCCCCUCAUGAGUGAAGCACAGAUUUGGGAUGAGCUUGCCCUCCACGUCCGGAAUAACGAAACACAACUACAUUUAGGGAGACGAAUGCCAAAGGCAUGUUUGUGAGUGCCGGUACGCGUGGAGGACAGAGGGCAGCUCCUAAGAGGAGGUCCUCUCCUCUACCUUGUGAGCUCAAGUCUCCAGGCCUGUGCGCAAGAAGCUCUAUGCCCGAGACACUUCUCUGUUUCUGUCUCUCAAUUUUGGAUUAAUUUCUCUACACCUUUGUGGCAUAACCUUCCUGGUCAUCAGACAACUAGCAAAAUCCCAGCUGAUUCAUGUGUGCACGUGUGGGUUCUGCAUAGGUUCCCAUGCCUGAGGUCAGCCCAGGAGGCCAGAAGAGGGCUUUGGAUCCUAAGCAACUGAAAUUAUAGAUGGUUGUGGGAGACCACAUAGGUACUAGAAACAGAACCUGGGUCAUCUGCAAGUACAGGAAGUGUCCUUAACUUGAGCCAUUGCUCAAGCCCCUUGUGCACAGUGUAUUUUAUUAGAAGGAACAAAUAAUCAGAGUUAUCAUGUAACUUUGGGUUGAAUCCAAGGAAAGAAUAAAGGAACAGUUGCAAGACAGAGUGGAGAACAAAAGUUCAGCAGAUGCUGGAGGACGAAAGUCGAAGUUACUAGUCAGGACAGGUAUGCGCAGGAAAUUUGACAAUAGCAUUGACCUUCUGUGGUCUCCAGGCCGGGAGAGUUGAGUAGAUCUAAUCUAGCUCUCAGACAAGGGUGGGAAUACCCUGUUGACGUUGGGCUUACUCUGUAUGUGACUCCACUGUAUCUGGAUCUCCUCCCGGUUGACACACUAAGCGACAAAUGAUUCAAGGACAGAAGUACCCUCAAUUAAGCAAAGUGAUUGUUUUAAAAGGAGUAACAAAUAUUAACACAUUACUUGGGGGAAACCAGGAAAGGGGAUAACAUUUGAAAUGCAAAUAAAGAAAAUAUCUAAUAAAAAUGUUUAAUUAAAAAAAA